UGGAUCAUGUGCGUGGUUGUUGUCUCAACCAAACCCCUCUAUCAGACUGUAACAGACUGCACUUUGUUCCAACGAAGUUAACCAAGAGAAUUGGUCCAAUUCCCCCAAUACGAGGAAAUGUAACUCUACCCCAACACGAUGUAUUCGACGUAAGAGUCGAGGACAACAUCGUAUGAACGUGCAGUCAACGUUACUCAAAUUACAGAUUUUUUCCCAAAGAGGAGGAGAAGAUCAACGUCAGAGAUGAAGAGCACCCAGCCCAGUUCUUCCCUCUCAAUUCCCCUUGAACAAACGCCACGCAAAAACUCAAAUAAUUCGAUAAACAACGUGGACAAAUCAUACCAUUGCCUAUGUGGAAAAUUAGGCUAUCUGCCUUUUUUUGUUAUUAUUAUUGUCUGUCUUGGACAAAAAAAAGAUGGAGUAACCAUCCAAAAUAUGUUGGCCUAUGUUUAUGCCAAAGUAACAAUGUCUUGUUUUGUCUAUUUUAAAAUAUUGUUAAUUUAUUUAAUUUAAGUUUCAACUGGAUUUAAUGUGUUUAAUUCAACUAAGGUUUCUGAGAUAUUGUUUGUCUGUUGAAUUGUAUCCGUGAAAAAUACUAUUAAAACGAUUUAGUUUACAUUU